rnacentral:rRNA from 1 species
AUUGAACGCUGGCGGCAGGCCUAACACAUGCAAGUCGAGCGGCAGCACGGGAGCUUGCUCCUGGUGGCGAGCGGCGGACGGGUGAGGAACACGUGGGAAUCUACCUAUUGGUGGGGGAUAACUUGGGGAAACUCAAGGUAAUACCGCAUUAUCCCUACGGGGGAAAGCAGGGGACCUUCGGGCCUUGCGCCGAUAGAUGAGCCCGCGUCGGAUUAGCUAGUUGGUAGGGUAAAGGCCUACCAAGGCGACGAUCCGUAGCUGGUCUGAGAGGAUGAUCAGCCACACUGGGACUGAGACACGGCCCAGACUCCUACGGGAGGCAGCAGUGGGGAAUAUUGGACAAUGGGGGCAACCCUGAUCCAGCCAUGCCGCGUGUGUGAAGAAGGCCUUAGGGUUGUAAAGCACUUUCAGUGGGGAGGAAGGCUUCGUGGCUAAUAACCUGGAGUACUUGACGUUACCCACAGAAGAAGCACCGCUAAUUU